rnacentral:rRNA from 1 species
CAGCAGCCACGGUAAUACGUAGGGUGCAAGCGUUAAUCGGAAUUACUGGGCGUAAAGCGUGCGCAGGCGGUUCGGAAAGAAAGAUGUGAAAUCCCAGAGCUUAACUUUGGAACUGCAUUUUUAACUACCGGGCUAGAGUGUGUCAGAGGGAGGUGGAAUUCCGCGUGUAGCAGUGAAAUGCGUAGAUAUGCGGAGGAACACCGAUGGCGAAGGCAGCCUCCUGGGAUAACACUGACGCUCAUGCACGAAAGCGUGGGGAGCAAACAGGAUUAGAUACCCCUGUAGUCCCUGUCUCUUAUAC